UGUACAUAUAUAUAUGAAUUUAUAUAUUUAUGUAUAUAAAUAUAUAAAUGUUUUAAAUGAUGAAUCCAGUGCCUACAAUAGUGCCUGGCACAUAAUAGGCAUUCAGUAAGUAUUUGUUGAUUGAUUGAGUGAGUACAGGACACUGACUAGAUCCUGGAAAUAAGAUGUGUAAGAAAUGCUCCCUCAUCUCAAGAAGCUCACAGUCUAGUGGAAGACAGAAGCAUGAGAGAAUGAUUCUCAGAGGGGGUUCCCUGGACAAGCUGCUUUAGCAUCACCUGGGGACUUGUUAGAAAUGCAAAUUAUUGGGGUCCGCUGAGACCUACUGAAUCAGAUGCUGUGCGUGGGACCUAGCAAUCUCUGUUUUCAUAGCUCUCCUAAUGACCUUGGAGUUUGAGAACCACCCUAUGAAUGUAACUAUAGAAAGCUUAUAAUAUAUAUAAUUAAAACUACUAGAAAUAAUAAAAAACAACUCUGUAUUGCAAGGAAACUAGGAUGUGUUUUUAGCUAAGAAAAGGUAUGAGGUAUGGAGAUAUAUUUUUGUUAAGAGAAAAGAAAGUAAAUUUUGUCCUAAAGUGAAGCUGGUUAUUUCAGAAUGAAAAGAGAAAAAUAAAGGACAAACUAAGGACAUAGACAUUUAGGAAAAGAAAAAGAGAAAGGAUGGAAGGAAGGAAGGGAGGGAGUUAGUUUUGUAGUCACAUUGGCUAAAAAUUGAAUUGUUGUAAAGGUUUUUAAAAAUGAUACACUUGCUUUUUUGUUUUAAUAGUUUGCGUAUGUAAUUUUCUUUCAUUUGCAGAAAGGGCAAAAUUUUCUUGGACUAUUGGUCUGCUCUUAAUAAGAUAUUAUGAAUGUUUUGUUUUGUUUUGUUUUUACCUUUUGAGUAAUCUCCCUGAAAAGCAAAAAUGUUGUGUUUUACUAAAAUACUUUCCUGUGCUUCAUGUUGUCUUUAUCAGAUCUUUGAUUACUUAACUGAGUCUUAACGCUAAGAGCUGAAUUUUACUUAAAACAAUGUAAUCUCCUAUAUUUGCUUUUAAAAUCUUUCGUCACUUUGGUUAAAAAUAUAAUUAAGUAUUAUCUGUGAUCCUAUUUAGUCAAGUGUCCAAACCUUUUGAUAUUUUUUGCAAACUUUCCAAAAUCGAUUUUUAAACACAAUUUUUUGACCUGGAAAGUAAGUUGGAGUUUUCCAGAGGGUCCCUGGAACAUCUCAAAAGAUUUGUUUUUUCUCUUCAUAAAAGGGAGGUGCUAAAUGAAUUGGUUUAUGUGAUAUUGCUAAAUUACAUGGGAAGUCUUGUUAAAUAAGAAAUAUCAAGCUUUCUUUACAUUGUAUCUGUGUAGGUAUGUGUUUUAAGUGUUGCAGAAAUUCUAUGAAAUUCCUAGAAAUCAGAUGUCCCAGGAUAAUGUUAUCACUGUAAUUCCAGUUAUUAUCUUAAAAUGUUGUAUUCCCAGAUAUAAUCAGAUUUUCUUGCCAAUUGCAUUGUAAUGAACUUUAUCAGAUCUUUAACCAUGGCAGUUACUGUUUUAUUCUGAUGUUUUGUAAAAGUUUUCCUGUAAAAGUGCUUCAUCUUCAAGGAGGUUCAUGAAUGGACUCUAACAAGUAUUGUGGAAUACAAGUUUCUGAUAACUUUAAGGUCGUCCAACUGAACUGGGUAAGAAUUUCCAGAACUACCGAAAAAAUGAAUUCACACAGAGCAAACAUUAAUUACAUGGGGUUGAAUGAACAUGGGAGUGAGUGAACUGAGGAGGAUGAUCAUAAUUUUUUAUGACUUUUUGGUUUGAAACAUUGCUGUUUUUUUUUUUUAAUGUUUGGUUUUUCCAGAUUUAAGAAAAACCUUUUUCUCUUUUCUCUUAAUUUAUCUAUGAUUUAUAGCAGUUUGUUAAAUUAUUCCUUUAUAAGCAGAAUUGAAACAAUUGCUUUUUCUCCCUACCUCAUACCUCCAGAAUUUAACAACUGUUAGUGAGUAUUCUUAUUUUCAUGGUAAUACAGUUAUUUGAGUAAGCUCAAUAAGAAUCUGUUCUUAAAAUGAGCAUAAGUGGAAACAUUGGUUAUGUUACUGAGGCUUUGACUGGAAUGUCAUAUCUGAGAGAUCUACAUAGACUUAGAUAUGACCAGACAGCUUUAAGAAACUACGGUUGACUUUAGGGAGCCAAUAAACAAUAGAGCCCCUUGGAAAAGUUGGCCUGGUACCUUGCUUGCAGGGUUCCCAGCAGCCUUACUAGGUGAAUGUGGAAGGUCACUUCCUGGCAGGCUCAGGAACCUCAGAAUAUUUGGGAGACCUUGAGAAGAGAGGAAUUAACCCAGAUUUGUAGGUAUUGCAGGUGAAGUGUGAUAGCAAGUCCUUGGCUUGGCUUCCUAGCCUCAAGAGGCUUUUAAGAGUUCAAUCUGAGAUUCCUUACCAAAAAUUGUAGCAAAGCAGAGUUAGAAGAGCCUAUAUGAUCAGUUAUUAUUCUUGCUACACUUGUGUAAAUAGGCCAACUUUAUUGAAACUAGAUUUAAUUUGCAAACAAAUUAGUCUUUCUGUGAUUAUUUUUGGUAGGUGGAAAAAUUAUGUUUCAGUAACACACCUUUAUAAAUAUCAGAUUCUAGGGGCGCCUGGGUGGCUCAGUUGGUUAAGUGUCCCACUCUUGAUUUCGGCUCAGGUCAUGAUCUCACAGUUUUGUGAAUUCAAGCCCCACAUCAGUCUCUGAGCUGGCAGUGCAGAACUUACUUAAGAGUCUCUCUCUCCCUUGCUGUCUGCCCCUCCCUCCCUCGCUCUGUCUCUGUCUCUCUCAAAGUAAAUAAAUAAACUUAAAAAAGAAACUUUAUGAAUAUCAGAUUCUAGUGCUGUUAAUUAGCUUUGAGGUUUUGUUUUCCAUCUGUUAAAGUUACUGGAUCCUGAGUUAUAGUUUCCUUCAAUAUUUGGCUAUAGCUCUGCAAAUAAACCUUUCCAAUUUUCUCCCAGUUUUGACUUGGAAUCACUAAGAACAAAACUAACCUUUCCCCCAAAGCCUUAUAAACUGAAUGCGAAUGACUUAAUAUAAACUUUCGGAGAAAUGGCCACAAUAACUCGUGUUUCAGCAAUCAUGCCUGCUGCUCUGUGUGCCACUCAGAAAGUUUACUUGAACACCUGAUGAUGUCAGAGACAUUCAAACUGCAAAAGAUGCUUUGACUCUGACAUCUAGAAAUUUUCUUGACUGGCUGCCCCUGGGCUUAGAAGCUGGUUUAUAAUUUGUUGUAAUCAUUAACCUUUGUUUUUCUUUUGUUUCCAUAGAAAUGCCUUAAUCAAUAGUUGAUUUCUCACACAUUAUAGGCCCAAUUGUGGGAGCCCAGUUACACCAUAACCUCCUAAUAUUAGAUACAACCAUUUAACUGAACUGAGCUGUUUUUAAGACUAAGAGAUUAAUUCCAUGAAACAGUAAAAUAAUCUACCAACUCAGCUUCUGGAUUAUGAAGCUUUUUGCAGUUUCAAAGGUGGGACUGAAGGGAAGCAAAAUAUGCCACUCCAAAAAAUAAGCCACUUUGGCAUAUGGAUUAUGUUGAAUUAAAAUUAUUUAAGAAAUAGCCAUUGUAAGAAGGACACUCCUUUGUCCCCCUGGAAGCAGGAAAUAAACUUCCGUGUGAAGGGCACCCUCUCGGCACCUGGCGGGUAAAAGCAUUCUCAUCACUGGAGAUGGGAUUCAGGACUGAGAAGCCUGUAAAAACAGCUUCGUUACUUCUUCAUUAAUUUGCCACCCCAAGCCCAAAUUCCUUCAUCAAUUCUUCACAAAUAAUUGUUUCUGGGUUUUUUAAAAGGUAUAAAGCCUGCCUGCCUGGUCACUUCUUUUGAGUCUCAUAUUUGUAUGGCUUGUGUAUAUAUGGAAUUAAAUUUGUUUUUUUCUCCUGAUAAGUUAUCUUAUAUCAAUUUAAUUUUUAGGCCAGCCAAAGAAUCUAGAAGGGAAGAAGGGAAAAUUUUCCUUUCCUUACACAUCUUUUUUACAUUUGCUUUCAAGGGCACAUGCUGGUUUUUUUUUUUUUUUUUUUAAAUGUUUAUUUAUUUUUGAGAGACAGAGAGAAACAGAGCACAAGCAGGGGAGGGACAGAGAGAGAGGGAGACACAGAAUCCGAAGCAGGCUCCAGCCUCUGAGCUGUCAGCACAGAGCCUGACACGGGGCUCAAACCCACAAACUGUGAGAUCAUGACCUGAGCAAAGCCGGCUGCUUAACCAGCUGAGCCACCCACGUGCCCCACAUACUGGGUUCCUGGAAGAACAUUCAUGCUUACUGCCAGACCAGCACUGUUUCAGAGGCCAACCAGAGAGCCUCUCAGGACCAUUACCAAGUCAGCUCUGAUUAUGCCCACUUCUAAGAGAGACUUACAGCCAAUCCAUUUAAUUUACUCUGUUACCCUUUGUCAAAUUUCUUCAUUCUCCUUAGCCUGUGAUACCUUUCCUAUUGGGAAAAGAUAACUAGCUGCUCUAACCUGGGUGACUCUGUUCUGGUUAGUAGAGGAGGCUCUUUGGGCCAGAACCUUUGUGGGUUUUCUAACUUCUCUGUAGUUGAGCAGAUUGGUCUUCCAGUUAUGCUGUGGCUCACUGUGCUGACACAGUGAAGGAAGUGUGCUAACGGGUUAUGGAUGGCUACCUCAGUCACCUCAAGAAGGGACUGAGUUACAGCUCAGGCCACGUUUAUAACCUACUGAGUGUGGAACUAGGGAUCUGUUAUUUCAGGCCAACAUGUAGAUGUAUUGCUACCAUUUACUCAACUCCUGAGCACCUACAUGCUAAACGCUCUCCAUCCCAAAUGGAGACAGUGUAAUUUGCUUUGGACACUUUUUUAAAAUAGAAGAAAUUAAAUUUUAGCUGUCAAAAAUAAUAAAAUUAUAUUUUGAGAAGUUAAGAAAUUUGUCCAGUAGCAGACUGAAUGCAUAAUGUUUAUUUUCCAGAGUUGACCGUAUAUCUUCACCUUCAAGCACAAGUUUAAAGCUGUGAGUUUUUCAGAAUCCUAACUAAAUGAUGUACCAAAAAACCUUUUAUUGAGAUUUUAGAGCAGUUUACUAGCUUUGCUAGAGUUUUGUCUUUAAUUUUUAUCACACCAGAAAAUCAGGUUCCCUAAACCUUGGCACGAUUGGUAUUUUGAGCCAGAUGACUCUGCUGUGAGGGUUGUCCUCUGCAUUGUGGAACAUUUAGCUGCAUCCCUUGUCUCCACCCACUAGAUGUCAGUAGCAACUCCUCAUCCAGAAGACAGCCAAAAAUGUUCCUUAGGGGGCAAAGUCACCCCCAGCUGAAAGCCACUGACAUAAACCAUCAAGUGAGUGUAAGUGUGUAUUUUAUAAUACAUGCCUUACUGUAUUGGAUGUAAGGCCAUUUCAUGUAGUAUAAUGAUACCUAAGGCCUUUUCUAUGGCUAGAUCCCCAGAUUUGAAGAUGACAAAUAGAACUGAUUCAUGUUCACAUCUUUUAAAGCCCUUAGGUUUAGGGUGGGUAAGUCAAAAGCAGUUUGAAAUCUCACAUCUCUGGGGUGCCUGGGUGGCGCAGUCGGUUGGGCGUCCGACUUCAGCCAGGUCACGAUCUCGCGGUCCGUGAGUUCGAGCCCCGCGUCAGGCUCUGGGCUGAUGGCAGAGACUGGAGCCUGUUUCCGAUUCUGUGUCUCCCUCUCUCUCUGCCCCUUCCCCGUUCAUGCUCUGUCUCUCUCUGUCCCAAAAAUAAAUUAACGUUGAAAAAAAAAAAUAAAAAAAAAAAUAAAUCUCACAUCUCUGGUUUUAAUUUAGGCGGGGGAAGGUUAUAACCUGUAGCUUUGCUUGGUUCUGUUUGUUCGUUUUUCAGAUUACUGAUACAUGUGAAUCAGCCAGACCAUUUUGUAAAUACCCUCAACCUGCAAUAAUUUUUUCCGCCUGUUUCCAAAAGAGUUACAGCUUUCAUUUCCAUAAGGAUGACUGUAACCCAGCAAGUUACUGUUCCUGCAAACCGCCUGACUUCCAUUGUCUGCCAGAUCUUUUCAGGCUGGUCCGCUUUAUUUCUGUGCCAACACUUUUCUUUAUAAACAUGAAUUCUAUCUUUAGUGACACUAAGGUACAUGAGUAUUUCUCAUUUUCCUGAAUGUUAUUUCUAAACCCAUAUAGCUUUUCGGGGAGGAGAAAGAUGUAAGGGGAAUCCAUGCAGGCUUUGUUGAGUAUAGCUUUGUUGAGUAUAGCACAAAGCAAUUUGUUAGGGAAAGCACAUGUCUUUCAGAAGGACAUGAGCCAGGACUUUUCUGGAAUAACUCUUCCCCCAACUCCCUCCCAGCCACUCUAGAUAUGAAGGCAGUUGUGUUUCUGCAAGUUUCAGUUUUCAGAAAUUGGAGCCCAGGCCAAGUUGAACCAGAAGAAGCUGUGGUCCAUCCCAGUGCUGACACCCACACCUAAAGGUGCUCAGCCUGGGAUGUAUCCCCAGGGCAUGAGGUGGAGUAAGGAGGCUGUUUGCCUGUAGAGAACACGGCUCUUCCUGAUGAGUGGAGCUGGGGGUGGGGUCUGAGCAGCAUGAAGUACCUUGUAGAGUCCGAUGUGCCCAUUUCCAGAGUUUCAAAAAAAGAAAGCAAGAGUUAUGCUAGAAGAUGCAAAGGUACUAUGGGUGCCUGAUGUCAUUAAAUCUCAAGAAUGUUAAGCCCAUGAGCAGUGAGUCUCCUGUGUAGCAUACCACAACCUCUGGCCAACUUGGUUUCAUCCAUGAUGAUAACCAGUGGUAGUUCUCCUGGCUCUUUAUCUGAACACUCCAUGACUCAUCAUCCCACUGACCAAUAUUUCUGAGAGCUUACUGUGUGCCUGGCACUCUGUUGAGCAAACCCAGGGACACACCCUGCCCUCGUGGAACUUAUAGUCCAGCUGGGAGUCAGAUGUAAAUAUCCAUGAAGAUAAAUGAAAGAGAGGUACGUCGAGAAGAACUAGUGGUCUGACAAAAAUAAGCACACGUGACUCCAGUUCUCCACCCAGAUGUCUGGUAUUUACGCUUCUCAGGGAACUAUCAGCUGACCUCAGUGGAUCCAGAAGGUUGUAUUGGUUUAGGCUCUUGAAAAAUACUCCAUGCUUAACAAGGAAAUAUUUUGGAAAGCAUCCAGAAGAACAGAAGAAAAAUAAUGUUAAAAAUGCAAAUAACUAUACUUUCAGAUACAAGUGUUUCUGUUGACAAAUUUUGCCAUACCUGGUUCAUUCUGACACUGAAGUAGCCUUAUUAAAGGACACUGUUUUGUAUGAAA